GUUUUCCUUCAUUGAAAUGCAUGCAAGAAAUAUGUCCAUGUCAUACAUUGGGUGUGAAUCAAGUUUAAUUUGAGUACUACUAGCAAAUGCAACACAGCUUAAUCCCCAGAGUUUAUUACAAAAUUCAGGUAUUAAUUAUACUUAGUUGAAGAAUAGUUGGCAUGGGAAGCAUAGACAAAGCAGAUCAGAGGAUUUCCUGCAUUUUGGCAAAACUCAGGUACCGGGUACAAGGAUAAAAUUGAAAGCACAUUACAGGCAUGACAACCUUGAAUAAGAGGUCAGUUGGCCACAUUUCAUGCAUGACAACUAUUGUUGUAAUGACACUGCUGCUGAUAUUAGCCUCUGAAUCAACAUCACUGGAGUCUUUGCCAACAUCACCACCAACUUCUCUUCCCUUCGAGCCAGUCAAGGACCAGAAGAAGCACGGCUAUGGAGAACAGUACAACGUCCACCCAGCAGAUGUGAUAGAAGACUACGGCUACUGGGAUCCUUCACCAAGAUCCAGAGGCGGAAAUCAUUCACCCAUUCCCCAUGGAGAAGUUUCAUGAAUUUGUAGUGCCAAAAAUAUUUCUUCCUCUCACUCGGCGAACCUAUAUUCUCUUUAUCCUAAUUGUAGUGUAAUGCUACAGUUUACUAACAUAUUUUAAUAGUUACUGCAGUUUAAAUUAAGUGGAAGCAUUCCACCUAAUUCCUUUGUAGAAGCAGAAUAUGAGAUAUAGUAGCGGCCAUCUGUUCAGGUUUUUCUUGGUUAUCUUAGCUCCUCCUCUUCUUGCUCUCUCUUUCAACUGGCCUUAUUUAUUCUGCAUGGAAAAUCACGAUAAUAUUUUUUGAUUUAACCUAGUUUUCUAGAAUCAGUAAAAUGUAAUCCCCGAGUUAAGCUGAGGACAGACCCAUCCCAAACACAUCAAAUUCAGACACUUCCGUUUCUCAAUACAAAUAACAGAAUAGACCAAUCACAUAGCAUAAAUAUUGGGUGCAAGUUCAAUUUAUGCAAUGUUUCAACCAAGAUAGCCAUAGGCUUCAGACUUCACCAUGCUUGUCAAAAUAUCAUUACAAGAUAACAUUCCGACAAUACAAAGAAACAAAUCUGCAACUCAAAUCAAGUGAAAAUAAAAACUUUAUGCUCCACCUUAAUUCAAGAAUGAACCAAUCAUUUGGCAAAUUUUCUCGUAAAAAAUGAGUGUUUAAAGUGAUAACCUUUAGAUAGCUUUGGAAAGAGAUGAGCAUCAUCCUGGAAGACCAUAGCGCUCAAAACAACAAUCUAAUGCCAAAUUACCUAUUUGAGGAGAAGAGGGGAAAAAACAUCAGAUUAACUAUAAUUAACCUCAAAUGAUUUAUUAAAUUUUAUUUUAUUUUAAGUUUGAAGAAUGUAAAAAGCCAAAAUAUAACACUCAUGAAAAAGUUCUGAGGUGAUACCAUAAGUGUUUAAGCUAAACAUGAGAUAAUAUGUAAAUUAAAGCCAACCUAGAUUUUAUGGAACCACAUCACCUACUGAAAAUAUGCCAACAACACUGUAUUAAAUGAUGUGAAAAGCUAAUUCAAUCUUCAUAUAGGCCACAAAAAUGCUCACUAUGGCCUUAGCCCAUACUUAUUCUAAGAAAUCACAAACAGUUAGCCAAACUAAAAUAUCUAGCAAAAUUGGAGAAUCAUCAAGACUACAAAGUACCAUGGCCUGAUGCUGAAUUUCUGAUCCUUAUUCCCGACAAAGAAUUUUCUGAAGGUUGAGGAAACCUCCAAAGAUGAUGGAGAUAAUCAAUUCAACAAAGAAUUAAAAAUUCAAAUUGCUAGCACCAAACGUUAUCCAAACCAAGAGUGGAUAAACCCUUUGUCCAGUUUUUUUCUCAUUCUUAUAUUUUCAAUUUUCAAUUUCCUAGAGAGGACAUCACCAUCAUCAUCUGUGUAUUUUCAAUUAAAAGGAAAAACUGGAUAAAUAAAUUUCAAGAAAUUCAAAACAGUUGUCAUUAAACUACUGAAUAAAGUGUUAAUUCCAAUUAAUAGAAGCAGCAACUUACUAAUCAACGUACUUACAAAAGAUGAAUCGAAGAUGGACCAGCUAUGGCAGCAACUCUCUGAGCACGCUGCGCUUCACCUUGGUAGAGUCCCUUCAUUUCUUUCUUUGCACGUCUAGCUUCACGCCUUUCCUCCUUUACAGCAGCCUUUCGUUCUUUCUUCUCCUCCUUUGACUCCUGGCCAUGUUGCUUCCUCUUCAGUGGCUCAGUUUUUAAGCCAGGCACACCUUUCACUUUUUCCACAUCAGAUUUUUUACCACGAGGCAAGAAGUCUACAGGAAGUUUCUCCUUUCCUCGAAGGGUUAUCACAUGACUGGUUGCAUUCAAGGCUCCAGAGAAAGUUUCAGCUAUCUUCUUCUUUCUAGCAACUCCUGGAGCUUCAAUUUUAGCAGGGUGAUUAUCAAGAUUUGAAUACGUGGUGAUGAUAGUCUCGCAAUCCCAUUGUUCUGAAUCAUCAUCAAUACUUUCCCGUACAAUGACAACAUCUUCAUUUUCAUCCUCAUUUUCAUACUUAUCUGCAUAUUCUACACAACGUCGAAUGACAUCAGCUGCCGAGUCUAUUAUUUCUUUACUUAUUGGUCGCUCAUUGGCACGCAAUAAAUCUGCAGGGACUUCAUAUUUAUCACCAAAUUCCAAGUCAUCCUUUUGAUGGGUAUUAAGAACAUGGUUGAGCUUAUUAGCAAGAGUUUCAUCUUCUUCUAGGAUAUAACCACUACAUUCAUCAUCUUCAUCAUCUGUGCCAUAUUCUUGACGUUCAAGCAAAUCAAAUUGCUCAUCCAGAAGACGGCGAACUCGUGGCUUCUCACCAGCAAAAUCAUUUUCUACUUCUCCUUUCUCUACACUGCUAUUAUCCACUGCCACACCUUGAUUACCAGAAGCCACAUGAUUGGAUUUAUCAGUCAAAUUCAACUUCUUAUCAAUAUCCAAAUCUGACCCUUCGUCAGGAAUAUUUGCACGAACAACAAAAUCCUCCUCCAAGUCCUCAACCUCAGAACCAAACCGCGAUAAAUCACUGUCAUCAAGUAAUGCAGCUACUUCCGGAUCAAACACUUUCAGCACUCUGACACCAACAGUCUUCGAGGCUACACUAUAAAUCGACUUAUUAUUGGUAUCAUCAAUUUUCACUUCGGAUACUCGAACUCUCGAAGCAUCAUAUGCCUUGACAUCGCGAGGAAGCUGAUCAGGAGUAGCUUUGGGAUUUUGAUAAAAAUAAGAGCCACCACCAGUGUUCUUAAUCUCCCUUAAAUGAAGCAAAUAAUUAUAGCCAUCAUCAGGAAAUCCUAACUCUAAAAUUUCCCUUCUCACAUGCUCAGGCGAAGGCCCCGUCUCCGCCGCAGAAGCUCCUCCAAAUUCCUGUCCAAACUUCAUCGAACUUCCGAAAACUCUAUCAUUAUCAUCUCCACCGUCGUCGGAAUCGCCAGGCGCAUCGGCGAAAAUGGAAUUAGGAUCGUUAUCGUAUUGACCAUUGGGGGAGAUACCACCGUCGGGGUUAUCUCCGUCGAAGAAGGUGUCUACAGAAAAGGGAUUAUUGUCGACUCGGACAAAAACUCGAUCAUUACCCGGUGUUUCGGCGUAACUGGGAUCAGAUGAGUCGCGGGCGAGCAAUUGGAAAGUUGCGGAUUUCUUCUUGUCGAUAAAUUUCUUCGUCUUGCCCAUUGUCUGAGCUUAGUUAAUAAGUGAUACUUGUAAGGAAAAUAAACUAGAUUAUAACGAGGCAGAGCUGUAUCCAAUGAAUUCCAUAAACCCUAGAAAAUUGUAUUUCUGUGUAUAUAAACCCUAGAUGAUGAACUGG
rnacentral:misc_RNA from 1 species